AACGACUGAGCCACCCAGGCGCCCCAUGACAGGUGUCAUCAGAAGGCUUCUGGACAAGAGCUGCAACUCAACUGGUCCUGAAAUGACAUGGGUUUCGAGUUUUCAGUGUUGCCACCAGAAAGAACGACAAGUUUGUGCACCGACAAGAGCAAGUGCAUCGUGAUUCCUGCCUGGCCGACAAGGAUAGCAAGGUUGUGGUCAGAAAAAGCUAGAAAAACCUGCUAUAAAAUCUUGCUACUCGAAGAGUGAAUAAGCAGCAUCACAACCUCUGGGAGCCCCUUAGAAACGUACACUCCGGCUCCACCCUAGGACCUGCUGCCUGGGAAUCUGCAUUGUAACAAGAGACCCAGGUGUCUGAUUUGGGACAGCUGCUCACCCUUCUUGACAACAGUUUUCCCAACUAAAGAUUGAAGGCUGGUGGCAAUCUUGUGUCAAGCAAGUCUUUCUGGGCCAUUUUCCUAACAGCAUUUGCUCACUUUGUGACCCUGUGUCACAUUUUGGUAAUUCUCCCCAUAUUUCAAACUUUUUCAUUAUUAUUAUAUUUGUUAUGGUGAUCUCUGAUCAGUGAUUUUUGAUGUUGCUAUUAAAAUUGUUUUGAGACAGCAUGAACCACACCCCUGUAAGACCAUGAGUUUAAAUGAUAAAUGUGUGUGUUCCGACUGCUUCACUGAUGGGCCAUUCCCCAUCUCUCCCUCUCUCCUUGGGCCUCCCUAUUCCC